rnacentral:rRNA from 1 species
GACGAACGCUGGCGGCGUGCUUAACACAUGCAAGUCGAACGGUGAAGCGCCUUCCUUUUUGGUGGGUGUGGAUGAGUGGCGAACGGGUGAGUAACACGUGAGUAACCUGCCCCCUUCUUCUGGAUAACCGCAUGAAAGUGUGGCUAAUACGGGAUAUUCUGGGUCUGUCGCAUGAUGGGUCUGGGAAAGAUAUUGUUUCGGUGGGGGAUGGGCUCGCGGCCUAUCAGCUUGUUGGUGGGGUGAUGGCCUACCAAGGCGGUGACGGGUAGCCGGCCUGAGAGGGUGGACGGUCACACUGGGACUGAGACACGGCCCAGACUCCGACGGGAGGCAGCAGGGGGGAAUAGUGCACAAUGGGCGCAAGCCUGAUGCAGCGACGCCGCGUGAGGGAUGGAGGCCUUCGGGUUGUGAACCUCUUUCGCCAGUGAAGCAGGCCUGCCUCGUUUGUGGGUGGGUUGACGGUAGCUGGAUAAGAAGCGCCGGCUAACUACGUG